rnacentral:rRNA from 1 species
GACGAACGCUGGCGGCGUGCUUAACACAUGCAAGUCGAACGAAGUGGCGAACGGGUGAGUAACGCGUAAUCAACCUGCCCUUCAGAGGGGGACAACAGUUGGAAACGACUGCUAAUACCGCAUACUGAAGGAGGGGAUUGCGUCUGAUUAGCUAGUUGGCGGGGUAACGGCCCACCAUGGCGAUGAUCAGUAGCCGGUCUGAGAGGAUGAACGGCCACAUUGGGACUGAGAAACGGCCCAGACUCCUACGGGAGGCAGGAGUGGGGAAUCUGCCGGAAGGGACGGAAGGCAGAGGGAGCAACGCGGUGUAGGUGAUGACGGCCGUAGGGUUGUAAAGGUCUGUUAAUCGGGACGCGGUACCGGAACAGAUAGCGACGGCUAACUACGUGCCAGCAGCCGCGGUAAUAC